GUGUCAGCAGCCGCGGUAAUACGUAGGUGGCAAGCGUUGUUCGGAUUUACUGGGCGUAAAGGGCGCGUAGGCGGCAUGACAAGUCACUUGUGAAAUCUCCGGGCUUAACUCGGAACGGCCAAGUGAUACUGUCACGCUAGAGUGCAGAAAGGGCAAUCGGAAUUCUUGGUGUAGCGGUGAAAUGCGUAGAUAUCAAGAGGAACACCUGAGGCGAAGGCGGCAUCCUGGACCGGCAUUGACGCUGAGGCGCGAAAGCCAGGGGAGCAAACGGGAUUAGAUACCCCGGUAGUCCUGGCCCUAAACGAUGAGUGCUUGGUGUGGCGGGUAUCGAUCCCUGCCGUGCCGAAGCUAACGCAUUAAGCACUCCGCCUGGGGAGUACGGUCGCAAGGCUGAA
rnacentral:rRNA from 1 species